rnacentral:lncRNA from 1 species
AAAGCUCAAAAAACACAAUGGCGUUUUACGUUUUAUAAUAAGUCGUCUCUUCUUCUCCACCAAGUCAAGUCAACAGGUAAAUGACUUCGUUCAAAUUCUGAUCACCAUCAUAAGAAAACAAACUCACACCAGUUACCUUCAAUAUAUCCUUUAGUUGACGGCGUUAUUCUGGUUGUUCGGAGGUGGUACCGGUGCCGGUGCCGGCACCUGUAGGACAUCGUCGGAGAUGACAUAUUCGCCGGUUUUCUUCGUCGUGGCAACCAAAAUAGUGUCGUUUAGUUGAUCUAAUCGGAAUCAUGUGGAAUUCCGGCGCACACCGCAUCGGAAAUUGUUCACUGGUGUUCGGUAGUGUUGGUGAAAGUGAGAUGAAGUAUCAUCUGGUUUUUUUUAGAUCUAGGGUUAUAAGUUUUAUGAGACUAAUUAGUGUUUGACUAAAAUACCCCUUCUAAUAUAUUCUUAUGUUUGCCACGUGUCAAUUUGUUAUUGCUUCCUACACUUCUGAUGUGUGUAAAAUGCAACAUAUAAAUUACAUCAAAUGAGGCAUAAAACUAACCCUUUUUAAGUACUAAUGUUGGAAAAAGUGUGUUUUUGUCUUCCUUUUGUAUUUUCAGGAUUAAAUGAGCUCAAAUUAACAAAAGAAGCAAAAAGGCAGCUAAAUCUAACAUAAAUACAAGAAAAGGAACAAAAGUGGAUUGCCCGACCCCUCGACAGCAUCCUCCCAAGCAAAACAGAGAAGGCAGAAGACUGAACACGCCCCGUGCUCAGCGAGCACGGGGCCGUGCCCAAGAAGCUGCAGAAAAGACAAACCUGUAGAAGCUUCUAUUGCUCACCACGGGGGCGUGCCCAGUGAACACGGGGGCGUUCCCAAAGUACUGCAGGCGCAUUAAUUGUAAUUGCGAAUUACAAUUAAUUAGGAGAGGUAGUGUCAGACAGGCACGGGGUCGUGCCCAGCGGACACGGGGCCGUGCCCAGGCCUCUGUUCAGCCAAUAAAUAGGAGUGCUUGGCUUCAUUGCAACUCAUCCCUUGGCACACCACCUCUCUCACACUUCAUCCACCACCCACCACCAUCACAACACCAUCAUCCACCACCAUCAUCCAUUGUCCAUCAUAGAGUGUGUGAAUUGUCUCGGGAUCCAAGAUUGAUCGUAAGAAUUCUUGACAAUCAAGGCAAUGUUUGCCUAAGUCUCUUACAUCACUUGGUGAAGACAAGUGUUUAGUAUAAUACUUUUUAUUUUCAAUCUUUUGCACUUUUUAUUUGGUUUUGUAUUAAUGACUUUAAUAACUAGUUGCUAAUGUUGAAGGUGACUUUUCCUUAUCGUUUGUCCGUGGUGUAUGUUGGCUACCUGGUCGGGGGUUAA